rnacentral:rRNA from 1 species
GCUUGUCUCAAAGAUUAAGCCAUGCAUGUCUAAGUAUAAAUCUUUUACUUUGAAACUGCGAACGGCUCAUUAUAUCAGUUAUAGUUUAUUUGAUAGUCCCUUACUACUUGGAUAACUGAGGUAAUUCUUGAGCUAAUACAUGCGAAAAAUCUCGACUCACGGAGAGAUGCUUUUAUUAGAUCAAAACCAAACGGCUUCGGCCGUCUCAUUGGUGACUCUGAAUAACUUUGGGCUGAUCGUAUGGCCUUGUGCCGACGACGUUUCCUUCGAAGGUGUGCCCUAUCAACUGUCGACUGUGAUAUAGACGCUCACAGUGGUUUUGACGGGUAACGGGGAAUCAGGGUUCGAUUCCGGAGAGGGAGCCUUAAAAACGGCUACCACAUCCAAGGAAGGCAGCAGG